rnacentral:rRNA from 1 species
AUGUGCUCGACAUCUCACAUGCGAAAGAUGAUCUCCUUUCUGACUUUGCAAUUCUCAUCCCAGGAUCUAGUAAUGGAAGAGAUCAGUAGUGCAACAUCACCAUUAGGAGAGCCCAUGGUUCCAAUGAUCGCAAACUGUGCACCAACACUAUCAGAGAUUAAUUCCCCAAUUCUUCUCGUUGCUGAUUUCAGUACACUGAAAAAGAAACAGUCAAUAUCUCAAGAGUCAAGAGGUACCCACGUUGUGGAAAUAGUUUGCAUGGUUGAUGAAACUGCCGGUUCUGAAAGCUCAAUGUCAUGGUUUGGUUACCCUAUGAGAAUCCUGUGUGAAAUUGAGGAGCUAAGCCAAGCCUUUUGUACUUUUACUCUUUCUUUUAUUCGUAGAGGCUACUAUAUGUGUCUACUUGUGUGCUAA